GAUGAACGCUGGCGGCGUGCUUAACACAUGCAAGUCGAACGAAGCACCUUGAUUUGAUUCUUCGGAUGAAGAUCUUGGUGACUGAGUGGCGGACGGGUGAGUAACGCGUGGGUAACCUGCCUCAUACAGGGGGAUAACAGUUAGAAAUGACUGCUAAUACCGCAUAAGACCACAGCACCGCAUGGUGCAGGGGUAAAAACUCCGGUGGUAUGAGAUGGACCCGCGUCUGAUUAGGUAGUUGGUGGGGUAACGGCCUACCAAGCCGACGAUCAGUAGCCGACCUGAGAGGUGACCCGGCCACAUUGGAACUGGGCCCCGCCCCAACUCCUACGGGAGGCAGCAGUGGGGAAUAUUGCACAAUGGGGGAAACCCUGAUGCAGCGACGCCGCGUGAGCGAUGAAGUAUUUCGGUAUGUAAAGCUCUAUCAGCAGGGAAGAAAAUGACGGUACCUGACUAAGAAGCACCGGCUAAAUACGUG
rnacentral:rRNA from 1 species